CCAUGAGGUGGUGAGUGGUCCUUUGCAGAGGUGUGCUGGCAGUGGGGCCAGCACGAGGCAGCUGGGACCUCAGACAUCUUGACAGAGGCCUUGGUGACAGCCAGCAUCUCCUGGGACCUGCUGAGUUCAGAACCUCCUUUCAUUUGGCAGCAGUAUUUUGCCUUUCACAGGGGCUGAGCUUCCUGCACCAUCUUAUCUGCUAAUUGGGAAAGAAAAUUCAAGAUGGUGGUGCUGGAGUGUGAAACUGCUGACUUCUUCCACAAAAUCAGAAGUCUGAUGCGUUACUACAGUAGUGCCAUUGCCAGAUGGGAGGGAAAAUGAUGUUUGAAGACCUGACGUCUUCCUAUAUUAAAGCCUUCCAUCGUCUAGGGUCUUGAAAGAAAACCACAGCUGCCUUCCCCUUUUGUCUAAUGGGGUUUGUGGGCUCUGGGACCACCAAGAGGACUGAGCUCCUGAAGAGGACCCAGGGCCGUGUAUGGGCAUCUGGUUGCCCCAAGCUGCUCAGCUGUGGUGAGCCAGAUACCCUGUGCUCGUGAAUGACACUUAUGGCACUCCCAGGUAGUAGUUAUGUCUGUCUUCUACAAGAAGCGAAGCAGGCCUGCCCAGGAGAUUUACCCAGGAGACUAGGUAGAGGAGGGGGAGAUUGCUGCUUCUUCUAACCUGCUCCCUGCUGACAGGACUACAGCAGGGACUGCCUUGCCAUUUAAUAGGCGGCAUUGAGCAACAUAUAACGAUUCAGGAGAAAUGGAGACAGUUUGACUUGUACCAUCAUUUAUUCUGAGCUGCAGUGACAUGUUGAGGGAUGCCAUUCAAAGAUGCUGUGUUGAAAGGGGCAGAUGCGAGAAUAAUCACAAACCAGAAGAGGCUGAAUGUUCUGCCCAGCUGCUGAGACCCACAUGGAGCAUAAUUUCAAAUGGUCUCUGUGCUUCUUGGUAUUUGGCUAAGAGUGAAAACAGCGUCUUGUAAUCUUAUUCUCUUUCUUGCCAAUCAUAUCACCCUGUUCAAGGCCUUUUCUAGAAAUUAGGUCUCUGCAGGAAAUGGAUAAUGAGAUCUGUUUAACCUUUCGGCAGAGCAGAAGCUAUGGAAGCACAGUUAAGGGGAAUGAGCUUUAGCUUAAAAGGAAGCCAGCUGCUAAAUAGCAAACCAAAACAGCCAAUUAAUAUCCAUAGCAGAAUGAGGCAAUAUAGUGGGAGAAAAUAAUUGGAGGACGUGAACACUCAUUUGCCAAGAUUUGGGGCACUGUUGCUAAAUGGACUAUCAAUAUUUUUGCAGCCUGGCAACAGUUAGUGUCAGAUCAAUGCUCACUGGUGUAAGAAGGGUCUUUCUGUCAGCUAUCAUGGGAGAAGUCAGAGGCAGUGAUCCUGCAAAUGGUGCUGAGGCUUGUACGAGUUAGUGUCCUGCGUACUGCUGUGAAAGCAUCCCUGACUCGUCCCACACUGCAGUGGUGCCAGCAGGUGGGGGGGAAACCAGUAACCCUGGGCCACAGACAGGGGCCAGAUGAUUUGCCAUUAGUGGACAGUCCUGGAGUUUUUUGUGUGAAAUACAAGUGGACCACUAGUAAUAAAAGAUUUUCUUCAUGGUACAGGUCUGAAGUCUACUGCUUACCCAGGUUAUGUGAGCAGCCACGUUAGGUUCAUGGCAGACUGCCCUGAUCUGGAUAAGUCACCAGUCUGGUUUUCCUUUACCCAGACCUGCUUGCAUUCACAAUCUGCACUCGCCAAACCUGGAAGGUAAUGUUUUACAUCCACUUCACAGGCAGAGGGAGAGCCAGGUGUUGUGCAAGCAGGGCAAGGCCAUGGAGAGGCAAGUUAAGCUGCCAGUUCUCCAGGUACCUAAUCCAACCAAGGUCAGGGACCUGCAUGUAGGCAGAAGUGUCUGCAGGACUGCGAUCGCAGGGGAAAAGGAGUGUCCUUUGAAUACCCGUGCUGUGCCUUACCUGUUCUGCUCAGGUCCUCCUUUCCCAGGGCUGAGCUCAGCCUCGCCUGCCUCCUCUUUGGGUCUGGCCCAUCACCUCCCUUCCCAAAUACGCUCAGGUGGAUAUCUGGUUGGCCUUACUGCCAGGAGUAGUUUAACUUAGGUGAGAUGAUUUGCUAUGAGAAAGCUGGGUGCGUGCUUCCAGCUCUCCUGGAUCAGAGUACAGAACAAGCACACAAUGUUAAGCCAUGAGUUAACAUGACAUCUGAAUGCAAAUAUUUGUCUUUAUAGAGUUCAUGAAGAAAGCAGCUCUGUUCUACAGCAAUUCCCAUGAAAGUUAAGGCGUACUUUUUAUUCCUGUAUUAUAAACUCAAGUUCACAAUAAUUUGUCAUUAUUCUCUGGAAAUCUUGAGAAGUUUCCUGUUUCACAGGCUGUGUAGCAAUGGGAAAUGAGACUUCUAAUAGAAAGCUUGGUAACUUAGUUUGGACUAGCUCUUGUUUUGUGAAGGGUAUAAAAAAACCACCAUUGUAUGAACCUUUUGCUGCAUAUUUGUCGGGAUCGGAUCAUGUCUAAAGAAACUUUGCUCUCACUGAGAUCAAAGGGGAACGCUUUCCCUUCUCCAUUCUUUUAAAUCACUACACUGCUAAAACUAAUCUAUUCCUGUCAAUUGUUUGGAAGGCAGUUGAACUCAUUUCUCAUUACAGCCCAUUAUAAAUCACUCCUCAUUUCAAUCUCAUUUAGCUAAUUCAGUCAUCAAAGGAUUGCAGGAGGCAUAGAGUAUUUUACUGAUGCAUUUAGCUCUUCACAGAAUUAUGAAAAGUACUGAACUUCUUAGGUCUAUCUAUUUGCAGAUGGCUCUUGUGAUGCAGGGAAAGCGUUCAUUCCCUUCCGUGGAAGGCAGAACCAUUAAAAAAGAAAAUCCAAGCAGCGAGGGACUCUCUCUAGGCUUGUGUGGGAGAUUGAUGAACGAUCUGACUUGUUUUCAUGUAACAUGUUAAAACUUUCAUCUCUUGACACCAUGCUGAAUUUUUCAGGACUUCACCAAAUUAAUUUUAAUUUACAGAGCUGACUGAAGGAAUUGAGGUCUGAUUAAAAAAUGGCAGGAAAAGUAUCAAGUAAUUCUGAAGUUGCUUCUAUUUAACACUUCAAAUGUUAAAUAAGCAAGGAAUUAUAUGAUCUAAGGAAGAACAGUCCCUGUAACAGAUGUUAAUGGACAAUAAAUGAGAUGAAUGUAAUUAUG